rnacentral:rRNA from 2 species
CUACCAUGCAAGUCGAACGAUGAAGCCCAGCUUGCUGGGUGGAUUAGUGGCGAACGGGUGAGUAACACGUGAGCAACCUGCCCCUGACUCUGGGAUAAGCGCUGGAAACGGCGUCUAAUACUGGAUAUGUCCCGUCACCGCAUGGUGUGCGGGUGGAAAGAUUUUUCGGUUGGGGAUGGGCUCGCGGCCUAUCAGCUUGUUGGUGAGGUAAUGGCUCACCAAGGCGUCGACGGGUAGCCGGCCUGAGAGGGUGACCGGCCACACUGGGACUGAGACACGGCCCAGACUCCUACGGGAGGCAGCAGUGGGGAAUAUUGCACAAUGGGCGGAAGCCUGAUGCAGCAACGCCGCGUGAGGGAUGACGGCCUUCGGGUUGUAAACCUCUUUUAGCAGGGAAGAAGCGAGAGUGACGGUACCUGCAGAAAAAGCACCGGCUAACUACGUGCCAGCAGCCGCGGUAAUACGUAGGGUGCAAGCGUUAUCCGGAAUUAUUGGGCGUAAAGAGCUCGUAGGCGGUCUGUCGCGUCUGCUGUGAAAUCCCGAGGCUCAACCUCGGGCUUGCAGUGGGUACGGGCAGACUAGAGUGCGGUAGGGGAGAUUGGAAUUCCUGGUGUAGCGGUGGAAUGCGCAGAUAUCAGGAGGAACACCGAUGGCGAAGGCAGAUCUCUGGGCCGUAACUGACGCUGAGGAGCGAAAGGGUGGGGAGCAAACAGGCUUAGAUACCCUGGUAGUCCACCCCGUAAACGUUGGGAACUAGUUGUGGGGUCCUUUCCACGGAUUCCGUGACGCAGCUAACGCAUUAAGUUCCCCGCCUGGGGAGUACGGCCGCAAGGCUAAAACUC